GCAUAUCAAUAAGCGGAGGAAAAAGAAACCAACAGGGAUUGCCUCAGUAACGGCGAGUGAAGCGGCAACAGCUCAAAUUUGAAAUCUGGCCCUCUCAGGGUCCGAGUUGUAAUUUGGAGAAGAUGCUUCGGGUGCGGCGCCGGUCUAAGUUCCUUGGAACAGGACGUCACAGAGGGUGAGAAUCCCGUACGUGCCCGGUGGCCGCCCUAUGUGAAGCUCUUUCGACGAGUCGAGUUGUUUGGGAAUGCAGCUCAAAAUGGGUGGUAAAUUUCAUCUAAAGCUAAAUACUGGCCAGAGACCGAUAGCGCACAAGUAGAGUGAUCGAAAGAUGAAAAGCACUUUGGAAAGAGAGUUAAACAGUACGUGAAAUUGUUGAAAGGGAAGCGCUUGCAACCAGACUUGCGCGCGGUCGAUCAUCCGGUGCUCGCACCGGUGCACUCGGCCGCGCGCAGGCCAGCAUCGGCCUGGGUGGCUGGACAAAGGCCUCGGGAAUGUGGCUCCCUCCGGGGAGUGUUAUAGCCCGAGGCGCAAUGCAGCCCACCUGGACCGAGGACCGCGCUCCGGCUAGGAUGCUGGCGUAAUGGUUGCAAGCGACCCGUCUUGAAACACGGACCAAGGAGUCUAACAUCUAUGCGAGUGUUUGGGUGUCAAACCCAUACGCGUAAUGAAAGUGAACGGAGGUGAGAACCCUGAAGGGCGCAUCAUCGACCGAUCCUGAUGUCUUCGGAUGGAUUUGAGUAAGAGCAUAGCUGUUGGGACCCGAAAGAUGGUGAACUAUGCCUGAAUAGGGUGAAGCCAGAGGAAACUCUGGUGGAGGCUCGCAGCGGUUCUGACGUGCAAAUCGAUCGUCAAAUUUGGGCAUAGGGGCGAAAGACUAAUCGAACCAUCUAGUAGCUGGUUCCUGCCGAAG
rnacentral:rRNA from 1 species